UGGAUGACCAGGGCUGGGUAUCUAUUAAAUUAAUAGCAGGCUUCAACAAAGUUUCACAUUUGACUGACAAUAUCCAGUUUAUAUUGGAGGCUAUAAGAAGUUCAUCUGUUGUUGAAGUACAGGGCGACAAAGUAAGGAGGCGAAACGAUUGGAUGAGAUGGAUAAUGCCACCUUCUAUUCAGUUUCCAAGUGUUUCAGGUCCUCCGUCACUUAGGAGGUCCAGUCAUGACAUGCUGGCAGCCCAUGUCCAAAGUAUUUCAUUGGAGGAGAAUGCUGCUAGCCACAGCAGUGGAAGGAGUCCAGCAGAUGUGCAUAAUGAAGCAUUUAUCGGCAGAUCUUCAUCUGGGGAAUUGAAUAGCCAGUCGCUUGUAUCUACUACUGAAGGAACAGGUCAAGUCAGUGUACGGGGAGGUUCAGAUUCAUCUACUUGAGCAAGAAAUUUGAGCAAGUAAAACGUGUGCUGUGGCACAUUCUACUGGAACUUCUUGGUAGAAGGUGGGGAGUGAUGGCUUUGAUUGCAGUGGUGGAUGUCUCGUCUUUUCUUGGUGGUAGUGGUCUUGCCUUGGCGCGAUGAAACACAGUUUCUCGUGGGGCAAUUAGAAAGACAAGUAGAAGGAAAGCAAAAGAAAACUUUUUAGACAGACGAAAAACUGAAAGGGAUAAAAAAAAUAUAUUAUAUAAAAAAAAGACAGAAAUGAAAAACAUUUAUAACUAGAGCUAGUAGCAUGAGUUUACUGGGAUGUAUCUAUGGUUUUUGUUGAGGGGGGGAUGGGGGGUAUUGUGUUUUUUUUAUUGUGUUUUUUUAUCCCAUAAAUGUUUGUGGUGGCCUAUUUGGUGUUAUUAAUGGGGGAAUUUUGGUUUUGCAUCCCCGUGUUGCCCGCCAGCUGGGUUUUAAAAAUCUCUGGGAUCAGAUCAUCUCCGAUUAGAGGAGGUAAAUAUAUCAUUUCUGAGAGAUGGAACAAAAGAAUAUAGUUCGUUUCGAGUCUUCGUGCUGUGAGGAGAGAGUGGCUUUUAUGGGAUGCUGCGGCUUUUGCUAUGAUCUGGCUGUUUAGGUUUCUCGUAACACAUUAUAUUUAUAAUUGCAUUUAUAUGUAUACCUUCUUCAUACCUUUUGAAGAUUUCACUGCAUAAAAUGGUCCUCUCAGUGAAACCAUGGCAACAUCUAGUUUCAGGGCUGGAUGUGUUUGACGUUAUAUUUGUGUUAAAUUUAAGACUUAGAUUGUGGAAUUUGGCCAUAUACGAAUGAUUUUAUUAUGUUUAUUAAUUCAUAUCGG
rnacentral:misc_RNA from 1 species